GGAUGAACAAUAACAGCCAAAGCAAAGACUGCUGUAGCAGAUGUGAAGGGUACCAGACAUCCAAAGUCGGCCCCUGAAAGAGGAAGCCAAUGGCACAAUAAGGACACCUGAACUGAUUUCUAGUGCUCCAUGAUAGGACCCAGACUGUAGCUGCCAGAAAGAAGCUCACCCCUAGUACUUCCCAGCACCUCUAAGGCCGAUACAUUUCCUACAGUGAAGCUCUGUCCCAUGGAAGGCAAUGAAGAGAAACCACCAGGGCUGAGAACAGAAUGCAGGCUAAACAAAACUGAUUAAUAAUGGGAGGUAUCCGGCGCCCUAAAGGGCAGAAACAAUGUACAGUGACCCAAACAGCUGCCACCAGAAGCGAUAUUUUGU